AAUAUGAAUUUGACUUGGAGCCAAAAGACAUUUCCAGUGAGAGAUCAAGACAAGCAUGGAUACCCGUGUGCAGUGUGCUGAUCCUGGAUACCAGUGUGUGGGGUGCUGAUCCUGGCAACCAGCAGGGGUCCUGCCUCCAGCUUCCUGGCCCGACUUCCCUCAAUGACGGACUUCAGUGUGGAAGGAGGACUGGCUUCCAGUUGGCUUGGAAAUCGUGUAACAGUGCCAAUGGACAAGAAGAUGCAUCCUGUCAAC